rnacentral:rRNA from 1 species
UAGUUGGUGGGGUAAUGGCUUACCAAGACUAUGACACAUAACUGGUUUGAGAGGAUGAUCAGUCACACUGGAACUGAGACACGGUCCAGACUCCUACGGGAGGCAGCAGUGGGGAAUAUUGCACAAUGGACGAAAGUCUGAUGCAGCAACGCCGCGUGGAGGAUGACACAUUUCGGUGCGUAAACUCCUUUUAUAUGAGAAGAUAAUGACGGUAUUAUAUGAAUAAGCACCGGCUAACUCCGUGCCAGCAGCCGCGGUAAUACGGGGGGUGCAAGCGUUACUCGGAAUCACUGGGCGUAAAGAGCAUGUAGGCGGAUUAAUAAGUUUGAAGUGAAAUCCUAUAGCUUAACUAUAGAACUGCUUUGAAAACUGUUAAUCUAGAAUGUGGGAGAGGUAGAUGGAAUCUCUGGUGUAGGGGUAAAAUCCGUAGAGAUCAGAAGGAAUACCGAUUGCGAAGGCGAUCUACUGGAACAUUAUUGACGCUGAGAUGCGAAAGCGUGGGGAGCAAACAGGAUUAGAUACCCUGGUAGUCCACGCCCUAAACGAUGUACACUAGUUGUUGUGAGACUUGAUCUUGCAGUAAUGCAGUUAACACAUUAA